GAUGAACGCUGGCGGCGUGCCUAAUACAUGCAAGUCGAGCGAACGGACGAGAAGCUUGCUUUUCUGAUGUUAGCGGCGGACGGGUGAGUAACACGUGGAUAACCUACCUAUAAGACUGGGAUAACUUCGGGAAACCGGAGCUAAUACCGGAUAAUAUUUUGAACCGCAUGGUUCAAAAGUGAAAGACGGUCUUGCUGUCACUUAUAGAUGGAUCCGCGCUGCAUUAGCUAGUUGGUAAGGUAACGGCUUACCAAGGCAACGAUGCAUAGCCGACCUGAGAGGGUGAUCGGCCACACUGGAACUGAGACACGGUCCAGACUCCUACGGGAGGCAGCAGUAGGGAAUCUUACGCAAUGGGGGAAAGCCUGACGGAGCAACGCCGCGUGAGUGAUGAAGAUCUUCGGAUCGUAAAACUCUGUUAUUAGGGAAGAACAUAUGUGUAAGUAACUGUGCACAUCUUGACGGUACCUAAUCAGAAAGCAACGGCUAACUACGUG
rnacentral:rRNA from 1 species